rnacentral:lncRNA from 1 species
AUUUGGAAUCAAUGUCCUCAUAACGAGGAGUGACCAAGGUUACUGGCCGUGUCCCAGUAGAAUAAUUACAUCCCUUUACGUAUACAUCAUAAUGUCUUUUUUAGGGUCCUUUCGGGUGGUCUCUGUGAACCCGACAGCGGUCAUUAAUGGGCAACAUUUCUGGUCUCCAGAUGUGUCAUGAGAUGUACCUUCUCUGCAUCUGACUCGGGAUCUUCAUGUAUCUAGUUAAGUGGUGUUGAUUGCUUGAACUUGUUUUAUCGUAUGGUGUUUUUCAGGUAUUCGGGUAGAAAUGAUAAUAGUGUUUUUAUUUACCAAUUUUAGCAAAUAUAUUACCUUUAUUAUAUUUAUGAAGAAAUUUUGGCUUAAUCAUGUCAAUGUUGAGCGAUCCAUGGGUCUUCAUGUAAGAAAUAUGGAGUUUGGGGUCACCUAAGUUACCAUGGAUUUUUGCAGAGAAACAAUCAAAACAUGGUGGUGUCUGACAGUGGCGUGGAUUCCAGGUAGAGUUGAUGGGUCCUGAAGUGAAGGAAGUGACAAGGUAAUGUGUAGUGUCAUCUUAGCAAAGGUAUUGUGUAGACACAUUUAUCACAAUUUGUUUUUCAGGUUUCUGUUAAGAAAUCAUGGUAAACCUGAUAAUGAUCAAUAAUGGCACUUUGCUUUUAUCUGGCUAAGUGAUGAUGUGAGUCUUUGGUCCCCUACAGAUCAUCUCCCCAUCUGAUAUGUAGGUUUGUGUGGAUGGUUUACCUAACUUUUCUGUUAGUAUAAUCUGUUAGUAUGUUUUUUUUUUUUUGUUUGUUUGUUUUUACAGCUAUUCUGUUAAGAAACAGUGUUGUCCCAAACAAUGCUGGUAACCACUUUAGAGUUUAGAUGUAAUGUUUGUUUGACCUUAGUGGUGAUGAACGGGUGUCCAGGUAAGUUGUCCUACUAUUCCACACCAACCAAGAGAGUUUUACAGGUGCUCAGACAAGAGAUGAUCAUUUCCUUAACAAUGAGGUUGACCUUGACAUUCUUCCUGGAUCCACAUAGUAUUGAUGGAUCCCCUGAUGAUAGAAAUAACCAGAAUUAAUUAGAGGUAUCCUUUAGGCCAAACAAUUUUUUCUUUAAACACCCUUGUCAAAUGUGUUCUUACCAGGUUAUAUUAAUGAUGACAUUACAGCGAACCUAGUAAUGGUCAUUAAAGGCACCCUGCUAGUAUUGAGGAUCUUACACCGCAAUAGAGACCAACUGGUCUUCAGAUGUCAAAGUAAGCAAGGAUGAUGUCCCAAACCCCAAACCCAUUGAUAGCAUGUUUUUUUCCUGCAGAUACACUGUUGAAGUGUUCGUUAGUGUAAAGGUAUGAGAUGUCACAUUAAUUCAUUAGACCUGUGUAUUUUCGGAUAGGUAGAUAAUGAAUGAUAUUUUGAAGACUCUUUACAUUUUAACUUAUAGUUAACUGUAUUGACUGUAUUUUUGGCUUGUAUGCAGUAUGAUAUUAAUUUGUCCUUUACAAUGCUACUAAGCACGAUAUUUUCUUAUAUUCAUGUUCCAAAAUACCGUUUUAUCCACUCAUAGAGAUAAAAGGAUAUAUAGAUAUAUCCUUUCAUACUGUUCAUCACCACAGUGCAGACCAUGGAAUUUUGACAUAGCGCUUCAAGAGAAGAAGGUAUCUAUCACCUCCUAGGGUUUAGUCCUAGACUUCUACAAGGAUGCAGGAGAUGGUGAUGGGUCUCACAGCUAUGCAAUGGACUAGGGCAUCUGAAGGUGGACACUAGAAUAAUACAUAUAUCAAAUGCAUCGUCUAAUUAUGUUUUCAGGUUCAUGUCAAGACGUAAUGGUGAGCCUAUUAAUGUAGUUCACGUUGCUGAUAUCUAGGCGAGUGAUGGUGUGGGCCUAACCCGCAUCACAGACCAUCUCUUUUUCGUGUGCAUAGGUAAGUGAAGAUGCUCGCAUUCCCAACAAUUCUUGUUAGCAUGAUUUGAUUGCAGGUAAAAAAUGCUAAGAGUCCAUACUAAUUCCAGUAGCCAUGACUUUAUGCUUUGUAUAUUUUAGUGGAAAUGUGUUCAAUCUUGCAAGUAUUGAAGAGUCGGUCAUAUCCAGGUAGUUGUGGUAAAGUCUCCUCUGUUAUAAUCAUUGGAUUUUUGCUGGUAUCCAGGUAAGUAACACUAAUCUCUUCUGACAGCAGUGCUGACCUUGAAUGGAUGCAGAGAUCCAGGUAGAGAUGAUGUGUUCCAUAAUAACAGAGGCAAACAAGAUUAGGUGCUGGCGUCCUGGUAGAACAAGUUGUGCCUUAAACACACUUGUUGUGUGUAUUUCUUGGAGAACAGGGUGAGCCUAGCAGUGAUGACUAAUAUCUUUCUACUAACCAGGUAAAUGUGAAAGUGGGUCUUACCAAGGUGCCACAAUGCAGACCAUCGAACUUCACUGUCUAGGUGAGUGAGAAUGGUGUCCCUAACAUUUGUGUUCCUGUCUUUUUUUGCAGGCGUGAGGUUCAGAGAUGAUGUGAUAUUCGCUGAUUAAAGACAUUCUUAUAUACAGAUGGCUACAUAACUCAUGAUUUUAGUCUUUUAUGUUCACUUUGUUUUUGACAUGUAAUCAGGAAUUUAAUUUUCCCUAAGAACUCUAGUCAGAAGGAGAUUUUUUCGUAUAUUGUGUAAAAGUAAAUUGUGUCAAGCAUCGUAGUGAUGGACAGGUUUGCAGAGGUGACAUCGCUAGUGUCAAGGUCAAUGAUGAUGGAGCCUAAACCAGAGCACAGGCCAUCGGAUCUCCAGGUAUCUGAGUAAGUGAUGAUGUGUCCUAACACUUCUUAUUACCACAAUUUUUUUUCAGGCAUCAGGGUGAAAAAUAAUAGAGUCCUUAUCAAUCUAGAAAACAAUAGUUUUCAUUUUAUAUUUUAGAAAGAGUUGAGCACUCUUUGGUGUUGAGUGAUUGCACAUACGCAGAUAUUUAAUAUGGUUUUCCCACUACAGUACUGUCAUGGUUUUGUUUUCUUUUUAAACAGUUGUCCAGUCAAGAAACUCUGGCUUCCCAACAUUGGUGUUGACCUUGGAUUAGUGAAAGUAUCCAGGUAGAGUUGAUGUGUCUCAUAAUGGUGACGUGAUCAAGGUGUCUGGACAGAAAGGAUACAUCUUGUGUAUUUUCCAGGUUCCUGUCCAGAUAUCACUCUGAAACAAGGAUUGAUGUUAACGGUGGCCACUGUUGGAGUCCAGGUUCCUGUCAAGAGAGAGACAUUCUGGUGGUUGUUCUCUGGGGACAUUUCUGUGCCCAGGUAUGUAAUGAUGUGCACCUUCCCCUAACAGACAUCUCAUCUUCUCAUAUCUAGGUCAGUGUUAGGAUUGAAUAAACUUAUUUACCAUGUGUUUUAUUUUCAAGAAGUCAGGUAAGAAAUCAUAGUAUGUUUACCAGUUGUAGCAAUCCUGAUAUGCUACUGUCUGUGAUCUUAGAGAAAAUGUAUGCUUAGUCAUGGGAGUGUUGAGUGGCUGGUGGGUAUCCACACCAUGACAGUGGAAUUGUGUGGUACACUAGUAACCAUGGUGCUUUGGCAAGUAAGCUGGGAAGAGAUGAUGCUGUGUCUAAAUUUGGCAUAGAUCUUGGAGUCCUACAUGAAUCCAGGGAGAACCGAUGGGUCCUGCAGUGAUGGCCACCCAUAAGGCUGUUUGAAAUUUCCUGGUAGAAAAGGUACGUCCAUAGACAUAUCUGUCACAAAGGGCUUUUUACAGUCUGGUCAAGAAGUCAUGGUGAAUCUCAAAAUGAUCUUGAAUGGAACUUUGCUUCUCUCCAGAUAAGUGUUCCUAUGGCAUUUAGCACCUAUAAUAUGAUCUUCAGAUAUGUAGGUCUGAGGGAGGGUGUUCCUAAUUAUUCUGUUACCAUCUUGUUUUAUUUAAGCAGCUAUUCAUUUAAGAAGUGGCAUUUUCCAUCACAACCUUGUAGAUCAACUAUAGUUCAGUAAAACUUUAAAAAAUGGAAAAAAAAAAGAAAAUUGACAUAGUCACAACUAGUGCUUGUAUUUGCCUUUUUUUUUUUUUUUUAAGAUUUUUGAUAUAGUGUGUAUUUAAACUUAGUAGUAACAGAGGGUUAUUCAGGUCCAGGUAAUUUAUUCUACUUUUGCAGUGUUAACCAUGACAUUUCUACAGAUUCUCCUAGAAGAGAUGAUAGUGUGCCUCACAAUGGUGUUGACCUUAAAGUUCUUCCAAGGUUCAUAUAGUGCAUAUGCUCCUCUAAUGAUGGAAGCAAGCAAGAUUAUCUUCAAAGGUACUUAUUUGGCAGAUAAAUAAGAAUGUCCUUUAACACAGCUGUCUAAUGCAUUUCUCAAGGUUCUAGUCAGCAUCAUGAAUAUAAUUAACCAAAUAAUAGUUGUCAGUGGGACCUUGUUAGAAACCAGGUUGGUGAAAAGGUGGCUUACAGCCCAGUACAGAUCAUUAGAUGUUCAGUUAUCGAGCACGUAAGAAUGGUGUCUAACACAGUGCACCACACUUUUUUGUAGGUUUCCCAUUACUUUCUUUGUCUAGUGUACAGGUAUGAGAUGAUGUGACAUUAAUUCAUUAGAUACCGUCGUUUCUUCAGAUACGUAGGUAGUGAUGUUGACCUUGAAGAUCUUUCAAGAUCCACAGAGUAUCAAGGAUUCCCCUGAUGAUAGAAAAAUAACCAGAAGUAAUUACGUGUAUUCUUCAGGUAAAACAAUUUUUUCCUUAAAACCCUUGUCAGUUGUGUUCUUACAUGUUGUAGUAGUGAUGACCCUUUAGCAGACCUAGGAAUGGUCAUCAAUGGGACCCUGCUAGUAACCAGGUAAGUGAUAUUGAGGGUCUUGCAGCCCAAUAUAGACCAUCUGGUCUUCAGAUGUCUGUGUAAGUGAGGAUGAUGUCCCUAACACCAGACACAGUGAUACUGUGUUUUUUCCUGCAGGUACCCUGUUAAAGUGUUUGCUAGUAUGAAGGUAUUUUCAGAUAGAUAAGGAAUAAAUGAUAUUUUGCAGACACUUUAUAGUUUAUCUUACAUUUAACUAUAUUAACUAUAUAUUUGGCUUGUAUGCAGUAAAGCUAUUAAUCUGUCAUUAACAUACUCGUAAGCAUAAUAUUUUCCUAUAUUCGAGUUCCAGAAUAGCAUUUUACCCACCUCUACUGACAAAAGGAUAUGCGGAUAUCCAGGAAAUUUAUCAUACUGUUCAUCACCGCAAUAUAGACCGUAGAAUUUCGAGGUAGCCUUUCAAGAGAAGAAGGCAUCUCUUACUAAGAUUUAGUCCAGGUAAUGGUGAUGAGUCUCACAGUUAUGCAGUGGAACAAAGGGAUCUGAAGGUGGACACUAGAAUGAUAUGUACUUCAAGCACAUCCUCUAAAUGCGUCUUCAGGUUCGUGAUGGUAAGCAUCUCAAUGUAGUUAAAGUUGCUGGUAUCUAGGUGAGUGAUGGUGUGGGCCUAACCCACAUCAUAGACCAUCUCUGCCUCAUGUAUGUGGGUAAGUGAAUAUGCUUGCCUUCCUAACACUUCUUCUUAAAAAGAUUUUUUUGCAGGUAUUCAGCUGAGAAAUACUAAGAGUUCAUACUAAUUCCAAUAACCAUGAGUUUACGCUUUGUAUAUUUUAGUGAAAAUAUGUUUUAUCUUGUAAGUAUUGAGGAGUCAGUUAUGUUCCCAGUAGUUGUUGUGAAGUCUCCUCACUGUUGUAACCAUUGGAUUUUUACAGGAAUCCAGGAAAGUGAUACUGAUCUCUUCUGACAGCAGUGUUGACCUCGAAUGAAUGCAGAGAUCCAGGUAGCAAUGAUGUGUUCCAUGAUAACGGAGGUGCACACGGUUAGAUGCAGGUGUCCUGGUAGAACAGUGUUUGUCUUACACAGAUUUGUUGCAUGUAUUUCUUCAGGAUCCUGUUAAGACAACAGGGUAAACCUAGCAGUGUGAUGACUAACAAAAGCUUUCUAGUAACCAGGUAAGUGUGAAAGUGGGUCUCACCACAGUGCACACCAUCUGAACUUCAGGGUCUAGGUGAAUGAGGAUGGUGUCCCUAAUAUUUGUGUUCAUGUCUUCUUUUUGCAGGUGUCAGGUUCAGAUCUUUCCUUGUCACACAAGGAUGAGAUGAGGGGAUAUUCACUAAUUAAAGACAUUGUUAUAUUCUGAUGGCUACGUGAUUCAUGAUCAGUCUUUUAUAUUUACUUUGUUUUUGGCAUGUUAUCAGAUUUGGCUUUCCAACAUUGGUAUUGACCUUGAAUUACUGCAAGUAACCAGGUAGAGUUGAUGUGUCUCAUAAUGGUGACGUGACCAAGAUGUGUAGGUAGAAAGGACACAUUUCCUAUCUUUUACAGGUUUGUGUCCACACAUCACUCUGAACUGAGCAUUAAUGUUAACAGGGGACACGGUCGGGGUCCAGGUUUGUGAUGAUUGUGACCCUGUCACUUGUUACCAUGGCUUCUCUGCAGGUAUUCAGGUAAUGGUUGAUUCCUUACCAAUUCUUAAUACCAUGAACUUUCAGUUUUCAUGCUUUAGAGAAUAUCUUUAACUCUGUGACUCAUGAGCAAUUACACAUAGCAGGUAUUGAUUAUGAUUGCUCAAGCACAGUAGUGAUCAUGGAAUUUCUGCAGGUAUCUUGUAAAGAAGUGUUAUUUCCUGACAAGGGUCAUGCCCUAGGAGAACUGCAAAUAUUCAAGUAGAGUUGAUCAUAAUGCUGUCAAUGACGGAGCUUGUUUGCAAGUGUCCUAGUAGAGUAAGCUAUGUCCUUUUAUACGUGUAUCAUAAUGUGCUUUUCAGGUUCUGCCAAGAGAUGAAUAUUCAUUCUGAUGGUCAUUCUCUGGGGACAUUUCUUUGUCUGGGUAGGUAAUGAUGUGCACCUUUCCCAGCAGACAUUGCAUCUUCUCAUAUCUAGGUCUCUGUUCGGAUUGACUAAAUUUACUUAUCAUGUGGAUUUUUUCAGGUAAUCAGAUAAGAAAUGAUAGUAUUUUUACCAAUGGUAGCAAUCCUGAUAUGCUGCUGUUUGCAAUUUUAGAAAAAAAAAUGUAUGCUUACUCAUGGGAGUGUUCAGUGGCUCUUGAAUAUCCACAUCAUGAUGGUGGAAUUGUGUGGCACAGCAGUAACCAUGGUGCUUUUGCCAGGGGGCUGGGAGGAGAUGCUGGCGUGUCGAACUUUGGCAUAAAGCUUGGAGUCCUGCAUGAAGCCAGAGAGAACCGAUGGGUCCUGCAGUGAUGGCUACACACAGGGUUAUUUGAAGAGUCCUAGUAGAAAUUGUGCCUCCAUACACAUAACUGUCACAAGGGGCUCUUUGCAUUCUAGUCAAGAAAUCACAGUGAAUCUGAAAAUGAUCCUGAAUAGGCCUUUGAUGUCUCCAGGUAAGAGAUGCUGUGGGGCCUUAGCACCUACAAUCCGUUAUUCAGAUAUGUAGGUAUGUGUGGAGGCUGUUCCUAACUAUGCUGUUACCAUGUUGUUUUUUUUCAAACAGAUAUUCAUUUCAGAAAUUAAUCACAAACUUGUCAGAUUCCCUGUUGUGGCUCAGUGGUAAUGAACCUGACUAGUAUACAUGAGGACUCCUGUUCGGUCCCUGGCCUCGCUCAGUGGGUUAAGGAUCCGGCGUUGCUAUGGUGAGCUACAGUGUAGGUCGCAGACAUGGCUCGGAUCUGUCGUUGCUGUGGCUGUGGCUUAGGGUGGUGGCUGUAGCUCCAGUUUGAGCCCUAGCCUGGGAACUAUGCUGUGGUUGUGGACCUAAAAAGACCAAGAAAAAAAAA